UCCUACGGGGCGCAGCAGUGGGGAAUAUUGCACAAUGGGGGAAACCCUGAUGCAGCGACGCCGCGUGAGUGAGGAAGUAUUUCGGUAUGUAAAGCUCUAUCAGCAGGGAAGAAAAUGACGGUACCUGACUAAGAAGCCCCGGCUAACUACGUGCCAGCAGCCGCGGUAAUACGUAGGGGGCGAGCGUUAUCCGGAAUUACUGGGUGUAAAGGGAGCGUAGACGGCGAGGUAAGCCUGAAGUGGAAGCCCGCGGCCCAACCGCGGAACUGCUUUGGGAACUGCCAGGCUGGAGUGCCGGAGAGGCA
rnacentral:rRNA from 1 species